rnacentral:rRNA from 1 species
UACGAAGGGGGCGAGCGUUGUUCGGAAUUACUGGGCGUAAAGGGCGCGUAGGCGGCGACUCAAGUUAGAUGUGAAAGUCCUGGGCUUAGCCUGGGGGACUGCAUUUUGAUACUGGGUUGCUUGAAUUCGGGAGAGGAUAGCGGAAUUCCCAGUGUAGAGGUGAAAUUCGUAGAUAUUGGGAAGAACACCGGUGGCGAAGGCGGUCUGCUGGGCGGUGAACUCGCAAGAGUUCAAUAGCCGACACUGAGGCGCGACAGCGUGGGGAGCAAACAGG